GGCGACCGGCGCACGGGUGAGUAACACGUAUCCAACCUGCCGUCUACUCUUGGACAGCCUUCUGAAAGGAAGAUUAAUACAAGAUGGCAUCAGGAGUCCACAUGUUCACAUGAUUAAAGGUAUUCCGGUAGACGAUGGGGAUGCGUUCCAUUAGAUAGUAGGCGGGGUAACGGCCCACCUAGUCUUCGAUGGAUAGGGGUUCUGAGAGGAAGGUCCCCCACAUUGGAACUGAGACACGGUCCAAACUCCUACGGGAGGCAGCAGUGAGGAAUAUUGGUCAAUGGGCGAGAGCCUGAACCAGCCAAGUAGCGUGAAGGAUGACUGCCCUAUGGGUUGUAAACUUCUUUUAUAAAGGAAUAAAGUCGGGUAUGCAUACCCGUUUGCAUGUACUUUAUGAAUAAGGAUCGGCUAACUCCGUGCCAGCAGCCGCGGUAAUACGGAGGAUCCGAGCGUUAUCCGGAUUUAUUGGGUUUAAAGGGAGCGUAGAUGGAUGUUUAAGUCAGUUGUGAAAGUUUGCGGCUCAACCGUAAAAUUGCAGUUGAUACUGGAUAUCUUGAGUGCAGUUGAGGCAGGCGGAAUUCGUGGUGUAGCGGUGAAAUGCUUAGAUAUCACGAAGAACUCCGAUUGCGAAGGCAGCCUGCUAAGCUGCAACUGACAUUGAGGCUCGAAAGUGUGGGUAUCAAACAGGAUUAGAUACCCUGGUAGUCCACACGGUAAACGAUGAAUACUCGCUGUUUGCGAUAUACAGCAAGCGGCCAAGCGAAAGCGUUAAGUAUUCCACCUGGGGAGUACGCCGGCAACGGUGAAACUCAAAGGAAUUGACGGGGGCCCGCACAAGCGGAGGAACAUGUGGUUUAAUUCGAUGAUACGCGAGGAACCUUACCCGGGCUUAAAUUGCAGAUGAAUUACGGUGAAAGCCGUAAGCCGCAAGGCAUCUGUGAAGGUGCUGCAUGGUUGUCGUCAGCUCGUGCCGUGAGGUGUCGGCUUAAGUGCCAUAACGAGCGCAACCCUUGUUGUCAGUUACUAACAGGUUCUGCUGAGGACUCUGACAAGACUGCCAUCGUAAGAUGUGAGGAAGGUGGGGAUGACGUCAAAUCAGCACGGCCCUUACGUCCGGGGCUACACAUGUGUUACAAUGGGGGGUACAGAGGGCCGCUACCACGCGAGUGGAUGCCAAUCCCAAAAACCUCUCUCAGUUCGGACUGGAGUCUGCAACCCGACUCCACGAAGCUGGAUUCGCUAGUAAUCGCGCAUCAGCCACGGCGCGGUGAAUACGUUCCCGGGCCUUGUACACACCGCCCGUCAAGCCAUGGGAGCCGGGGGUACCUGAAGUGCGAAACCGCGAGGAGCGCCCUAGGGUAAAACUG
rnacentral:rRNA from 1 species